rnacentral:rRNA from 1 species
GAUGAACGCUGGCGGCGUGCCUAAUACAUGCAAGUAGAACGCUGAAGGAGGAGCUUGCUCUUCUGGAUGAGUUGCGAACGGGUGAGUAACGCGUAGGUAACCUGCCUGGUAGCGGGGGAUAACUAUUGGAAACGGUAGCUAAUACCGCAUGACAACAGUUAUUGCAUGAUAACUGUUUAAAAGGGGCAACUGCUCCACUACCAGAUGGACCUGCGUUGUAUUAGCUAGUUGGUGAGGUAACGGCUCACCAAGGGGACGAUACAUAGCCGACCUGAGAGGGGGAUCGGCCACACUGGGACUGAGACACGGCCCAGACUCCUACGGGAGGCAGCAGUAGGGAAUCUUCGGCAAUGGACGGAAGUCUGACCGAGCAACGCCGCGUGAGUGAAGAAGGUUUUCGGAUCGUAAAGCUCUGUUGUAAGAGAAGAACGAGUGUGGGAGUGGAAAGUUCACACUGUGACGGUAUCUUACCAGAAAGAGACGGCUAACUACGUG